rnacentral:lncRNA from 1 species
UAUCUCCCACUGCAGGAAAGCAACAACCUCCUACGUAGACGCCUACGGAAUGCUCCCUCCCCAGCCUUUUCUACAGGGCUGACCUACACUUCCACCAGACUCUCUAGAACCCGCAGCGACCAGUUACGGAUUGAACUCACUUCCCUAACUUCCAGGUCUGGCCCUCCACGCCCCGCCCCCUCUCCCGCAGAGGUUACUACGGAGGGCGGUGUCUCUACCCACAACAGAAGGCGCCCUUCCGGCGCUUCCUGAUGACGUCGAACCCGCGUCCUUGGCGCGGCCAUGUGUGAAGCCUGACGCACAGGAGACACAGCGGACGUUUUUCCAAAUUGAAAGGCCAGCGGGAGUGACCCUGCGAGAACAAUGAAAGGGUCCCUCUCCAGGUGCUUACCCUCUAACGGAAAGUGGGAGAGAUCGUCCAGGCUCUAGUCGCCUGCGGCAAUUAACUCAAGUUUCAAAGGCCAGAACUCGCCACCACCGCUGUAACGGCAAACGGGAAACACCAAAAGGCACCUAGGACUUGGAAGCUGAAAGCAAACUUUAUUUACAUGGACGGGCCUGGUCGGGGUAGUUCCUCAAAGAACCAGGCAACUUGCUUUUUGUUCUUCUACAGUUUAUAUAGGGUUUUUGUAAGUAGGAACUGUGAGACCAAAAGUGAACCUAAGCAAGCCAUCUUGGCCUGUGAGUGAACUCCCCUCAUACCCCUCCCCUUGCAGAGUGCUGGAAUUCUCCUAAAGAUGUAUUUUUGUAACCGCCCUUAUAACCGCUCGCCCUGCUUCUGUAAAUAUGCUUUAUCGCUCCCUGGGAACAGAUGGUGCCUGGUGCCUCCCUGUAACCACCGAACCCUGUAACCACAGAAUGUCCUAUCUUGACAAAAUAGCCGGGUUGUGAAAAAUAUUUUGCAGCUGGUUAAAAAACAUGUUGACCUCUCCCUGAACUUCUUUGUUUGAACUACCUGUAAAAUUUUUAGCUGUGCU